rnacentral:rRNA from 1 species
GGUUAAGCGACUAAGCGUACACGGUGGAUGCCCUGGCAGUCAGAGGCGAUGAAGGACGUGCUAAUCUGCGAUAAGCGUCGGUGAGGUGAUAUGAACCGUUAUAACCGGCGAUUUCCGAAUGGGGAAACCCAGUGUGUUUCGACACACUAUCAUUAACUGAAUCCAUAGGUUAAUGAGGCGAACCGGGGGAACUGAAACAUCUAAGUACCCCGAGGAAAAGAAAUCAACCGAGAUUCCCCCAGUAGCGGCGAGCGAACGGGGAGGAGCCCAGAGCCUGAAUCAGUGUGUGUGUUAGUGGAAGCGUCUGGAAAGGCGUGCGAUACAGGGUGACAGCCCCGUACACAAAAAUGCACAUAUUGUGAGCUCGAUGAGUAGGGCGGGACACGUGGUAUCCUGUCUGAAUAUGGGGGGACCAUCCUCCAAGGCUAAAUACUCCUGACUGACCGAUAGUGAACCAGUACCGUGAGGGAAAGGCGAAAAGAACCCCGGCGAGGGGAGUGAAAAAGAACCUGAAACCGUGUACGUACAAGCAGUGGGAGCCUCUUAAUGGGGUGACUGCGUACCUUUUGUAUAAUGGGUCAGCGACUUAUAUUCUGUAGCAAGGUUAACCGAAUAGGGGAGCCGAAGGGAAACCGAGUCUUAACUGGGCGUUAAGUUGCAGGGUAUAGACCCGAAACCCGGUGAUCUAGCCAUGGGCAGGUUGAAGGUUGGGUAACACUAACUGGAGGACCGAACCGACUAAUGUUGAAAAAUUAGCGGAUGACUUGUGGCUGGGGGUGAAAGGCCAAUCAAACCGGGAGAUAGCUGGUUCUCCCCGAAAGCUAUUUAGGUAGCGCCUCGUGAAUUCAUCUCCGGGGGUAGAGCACUGUUUCGGCAAGGGGGUCAUCCCGACUUACCAACCCGAUGCAAACUGCGAAUACCGGAGAAUGUUAUCACGGGAGACACACGGCGGGUGCUAACGUCCGUCGUGAAGAGGGAAACAACCCAGACCGCCAGCUAAGGUCCCAAAGUCAUGGUUAAGUGGGAAACGAUGUGGGAAGGCCCAGACAGCCAGGAUGUUGGCUUAGAAGCAGCCAUCAUUUAAAGAAAGCGUAAUAGCUCACUGGUCGAGUCGGCCUGCGCGGAAGAUGUAACGGGGCUAAACCAUGCACCGAAGCUGCGGCAGCGACACUAUGUGUUGUUGGGUAGGGGAGCGUUCUGUAAGCCUGUGAAGGUGGCCUGUGAGGGUUGCUGGAGGUAUCAGAAGUGCGAAUGCUGACAUAAGUAACGAUAAAGCGGGUGAAAAGCCCGCUCGCCGGAAGACCAAGGGUUCCUGUCCAACGUUAAUCGGGGCAGGGUGAGUCGACCCCUAAGGCGAGGCCGAAAGGCGUAGUCGAUGGGAAACAGGUUAAUAUUCCUGUACUUGGUGUUACUGCGAAGGGGGGACGGAGAAGGCUAUGUUGGCCGGGCGACGGUUGUCCCGGUUUAAGCGUGUAGGCUGGUUUUCCAGGCAAAUCCGGAAAACCAAGGCUGAGGCGUGAUGACGAGGCACUACGGUGCUGAAGCGACAAAUGCCCUGCUUCCAGGAAAAGCCUCUAAGCAUCAGGUAACAUCAAAUCGUACCCCAAACCGACACAGGUGGUCAGGUAGAGAAUACCAAGGCGCUUGAGAGAACUCGGGUGAAGGAACUAGGCAAAAUGGUGCCGUAACUUCGGGAGAAGGCACGCUGAUAUGUAGGUGAAGCGACUUGCUCGUGGAGCUGAAAUCAGUCGAAGAUACCAGCUGGCUGCAACUGUUUAUUAAAAACACAGCACUGUGCAAACACGAAAGUGGACGUAUACGGUGUGACGCCUGCCCGGUGCCGGAAGGUUAAUUGAUGGGGUUAGCGGCAACGCGAAGCUCUUGAUCGAAGCCCCGGUAAACGGCGGCCGUAACUAUAACGGUCCUAAGGUAGCGAAAUUCCUUGUCGGGUAAGUUCCGACCUGCACGAAUGGCGUAAUGAUGGCCAGGCUGUCUCCACCCGAGACUCAGUGAAAUUGAACUCGCUGUGAAGAUGCAGUGUACCCGCGGCAAGACGGAAAGACCCCGUGAACCUUUACUAUAGCUUGACACUGAACAUUGAGCCUUGAUGUGUAGGAUAGGUGGGAGGCUUUGAAGUGUGGACGCCAGUCUGCAUGGAGCCGAC